rnacentral:rRNA from 1 species
ACACGACUACAUUAGACUACCCGGGUAGUCCCAGCCCUAAGCGAUGCGCGUUAGGUGUAUCGGUGACCACGAGUCACCGAGGUGCCGAAGGGAAACCGUGAAACGUGCCGCCGUGGGAAGUACGGUCGCAAGGCUAGAAAACUUAAAGGAAUUGGCGGGGGAGCACCACAACGGGUGGAGCCUGCGGUUUAAUUGGACUCAACGCCGGGAAGCUCACCGGAUAAGACAGCGGAAUGAUUGCCGGGCUGAAGACCCUGCAUGACCAGCUG